GAUGAACGCUGGCGGCGUGCCUAAUACAUGCAAGUCGAGCGAACGGACGAGAAGCUUGCUUCUCUGAUGUUAGCGGCGGACGGGUGAGUAACACGUGGAUAACCUACCUAUAAGACUGGGAUAACUUCGGGAAACCGGAGCUAAUACUGGAUAAUAUUUUGAACCGCAUGGUUCAAAAGUGAAAGACGGUCUUGCUGUCACUUAUAGAUGGAUCCGCGCUGCAUUAGCUAGUUGGUAAGGUAACGGCUUACCAAGGCAACGAUGCAUAGCCGACCUGAGAGGGUGAUCGGCCACACUGGAACUGAGACACGGUCCAGACUCCUACGGGAGGCAGCAGUAGGGAAUCUUCCGCAAUGGGCGAAAGCCUGACGGGGCAACGCCGCGUGAGUGAUGAAGGUCUUCGGAUCGUAAAACUCUGUUAUUAGGGAAGAACAUAUGUGUAAGUAACUGUGCACAUCUUGACGGUACCUAAUCAGAAAGCCACGGCUAACUACGUG
rnacentral:rRNA from 1 species